AAGUAAACCAACUCUUACACUCAAUCAGCUCCAAAACCACGGCACUCUUUCAUCCACUUCCACUUCACAUUCCAAACCACAACUGCAACUCUUCUGCUUAGUUAUUAUCGACAAAGAGGAGCUGAAGGAGGAAGCCGCGAGUUGCAUUUCCCUUUUGUCUUGUCCGUAAGCUGAGGGAGAAACCAGAGAACCAUCACCACCUUCGAUAACUUCAGACCAACAUCACAACUGCAAUCUUAACCACUCUGCACCUCGCCAACUCCAGCCGCAACUCACUGAACCAGGACCACUACCCUGUCGCGUGCUUGUGAGCCGAGAGGAGGAAAACAUUUUCCAGAUUUUCGUGUGAAAGCUUGACUAGUUGUGAGGUAAAUUCUGGAUCAUUUUAGGAUUAAUCUGAGGUAGUUGGAGUUAUCUAGUAAUAUGUAUGUGAUGAUAGAGCAUUCGGAAGUUGAAUGGAAUCAUUAGAAAAUUCUGUUUUGAAUGAUGAGAUACCAUCCGAAAGCUGAGAUGAUAACGCACUCCAAUUCUGAUUUCCUGUGAUGAUUUGAGCACUUAAGUGGAUUUAGUCAAAUGAAAAUGUGAUGAUUUCUAUUUUGCAUGCUGAUUGUACCUUCGGAUGGCAUAGUGAAGGCCUACAAAAAAAUUUUGUUAGCUAUAAAGCUCCUGCCGUGGAGCUUGAUGCACUUGUUUUAUUUUGGCUGCUGAAUGGGUCUGAAUUUGGACUAUCUGAGCAUGAAUGAUGUUUAUCUAACUGGAUUUUGGAUGAUUAUCCGGAUUAGAGUCUUGCAUGUGUUAAAUUUCGCAAUCAAAUGGUGAAAACAAAGCUGUGGAAAAUUCUGUCUUGGCUGGAAAAUUUGGCCGUGAGCUUGCUUGGGGUAGUGCAGCUUAAAUUGGUUUUGAUUUUUGUAAUUUGGGCUUAUAAUCAUAAUUAUAUAGCUAAUAAUGAGUACUUAGGCCCUGCAUGUAGCUAAUUAGUUGUUAAAACAGAGGAAUAAAAAUUCAAAAGUGCAAUCUGCCUUAAGGCAAGAUCAUCCGGACCAAAUAGGAAAAAAAAAUUUCUGGAAAUUUUGAUGGUUAUGGAUAUUAUUUGAACUUGAUUUCUGAGCUGGAAAUAUUCAUAUGCUAGCUUGAUACGUGCAUAAGGAAUGUAAGAGUUUAUAACCAUGUCCAAACCAGAAAAUGAAAUGAAAAUAGAAAGCUCUUCACGCAUGAUUCAACCGUGACUAUUAGGGAAAUUUUCUUGUGGUUGCCAAAUGUUGAGUUGAAAUCUCAACUUUGAUUUUGGAAUUUUUCUGGGAUUUAUAAUGGUUGAAAUUGUUUGGAAAUCUUGAGAGAAGCCGUGAGGUUUAAACCUGGAAAUUUUGGGGUUUGUAACCAUGGUUUAAAUUCAACUCUUAAACUGGAAAUGUUCAUUAUCUUGCUAUGUGUUUAAAUACUGAAUUUGAGUAACUAACACCAUGAUUAAACCAAGGGAAAAUUCGAACUAAAGUAGAUUGGUUGCUGGAAAUUUUGGGUGAUAGCCGAAGGGGUAUGAACCAGAAUUUCAAUAUCGUUGGAAAAAUUCAAUUUGUUUCUGGAAAUUUAUUUUAUUUCCUUGGAUUAUGGUGGCUCAGAAUUUCAUAAGAGAUACAAAUUUUAAGAUAUACAAUUUGUUCAGCAAUGAACCAAUUAGUACAUGUAAAGCUGAAACCAAAAAUGUGGGUGUACAAACGCUGGAAAUUUUCCUUGUGGUUGCUAAAGUUUGAGUAAGAAUUUCCAGCUCGAUUGUGAAGUUAUUCCUUGGGCCUUAAUGAUUGGAAACACAUGGAAAAUGUUGAUGUUAAUGAUUGUGGUUUGACUCUAUUGCGUUCAUGAAAUUCUCAAAGAGUUAGAUGUAAGAAGGUACUUGCUAAAUGUAUGUUUAAGCCUGGCUAGUGAAACAAUUUCUACUCGUAUUCCAAUGUUCGCAAAGCUAAUGGUCGACAUUAUUUUUCAUUGGAGCAUAAUGUGUCGAAAUUGUUGACAGUGGGCUCUACGAAUUCCCACUUUUGAGUUAAUGGUUGAGUUAUUGGAAAUUGGCUGAUGGUGGGCUCUAUGAACUCCCACCCUGAAUGGAUAACUGAAUUUCUGAAAUUGUUUAGAAAUCUGUGCUACUAUUUUGUGAAACUGUGAGUUGAUAUAAGUACUGAUUACCAAGUGCUAAGUAUUGACGCAGCCUUGGUAAAUUUUCCUGUUUAUGCUUAGAUAUAAAUUUGUUGGAACACAGGGCUAAGAAUUGAAGAGCUCUAGUGUUAUUACCGUUUAAAUUUUAAUGGUGCAAUAUUGAGAAAAUGUGAUUUUGGAUUGGAAUCGAAAAUGUGAGAAGUUGUACCGACCUUGUGACUCCAAGUAAACGCUUGACUAAGUAAAUGAAAAAUAUUUUGCUUUAAGUCUCGAACGGUACAGAUUUAGCAUCGUAUUGCUAAACAUAGUGUCUACUAUUUUUGCCUUAGAAACUUGGGCAACAUGACUUUUAUUCCUUAAGUUAGACUAGUCUUAUCAAUUUGGGAAAAAAAUCCUUCCAGACUCAAAACCUUAGUUUUGUUCCGAAUUCCCUCCUUCUUUAUAAAUCGUUUAAGGCUAGUCGGAACUAAGGAAAAUUUGAAAGGUGAAACUCGAUCACUUUGGUUUUAAACGUAGCAACCUGCUUGGCAAGAAGAAAAGAAAAACCUUAUUCUAGCAACAUUUUUCAAUAGACCUUACCCUAAAGCCUUAGCAAAGAUUUUGCAAGCACCGCCACUCAAAGGAACUUUUUCUCAAGGUAUACUUCUAGCCUUGAUAUUAAAUAUCUUGCCGACUUAUUUUAAGAAAAUAAUAAUAGUAUUUUCUUCGAGGAAAAGUAUUCUAGGAAUAUUAUAAGAAAUAUUGUACGGUUCUCACAAGCUUGAUUCCAAGUAAAAUAUUUUGAGAAAAAGUAAACUAGCAACAUGCUAGAAAACUCUACAUGUGCAAGCCAAAAGUUCCAAUAGAAGACUUAUGGCUUAAAUUCUGAUAUUCUAGGAUUUUACGAGGACGCGGAACUCGAUCCUCAAUCCAAUAUCUGAACUUCACUCUUGGUGAGUGUCCCUGCUUGUUCUAUGUUAUGUGGUUAAGCGCUUUAUCAAUUCGCUAUGUGAUAAUUGUCAAAAUGCAAUAAAUGAUUUUGAUCCAUCGAAGUGAGCAGUGUGUACUUUAUCGCACUAGCCGUUCGAGUGGUGACAUGUGUGAAACAUUUUCUAAUGAAUCUGUGAAUCUAAAUGUAGUUGCGUCGUUGGGUGAAUCCCUCGACAUCUGAAUCCAACUACCAUAACAUCUGAAUCUGUAGUUGCGUCGUUGGGUGAAUCCCUCGACAUCUGAAUCCAACUACCAUAACAUCUGAAUCUGUAGUUGCGUCGUUGGGUGAAUCCCUCGACAUCUGAAUCCAACUACCAUAACAUCUGAAUCUGUAGUUGCGUCGUUGGGUGAAUCCCUCGACAUCUGAAUCCAACUACCAAAACGUCGUUGGGUGAAUCCCUCGACAAAUUUAUUACGGGUAUAUCUCGAGUAUACUGCGUCGGUAGAUGAAGUUUGGGCCCAAAGCAGAGGUAUGAACGGUGACGGGUUAGGAUUAAAAUAAGUGUAUCUACAUGGAAAUUAAGUAGGGAAAGUUGACGGAGGGUCAACUACGAUGGUAUCUGAUCAAGCGUGGAAAAUGGCUCCUGAGAGCCCUUGUAUCCUACCUUGUGUUGUUACACGCUUUCCUGACUGUUUCGAUUUGAUUUAAAUUAUUAACCGCUGUUUGAUUUAUGUGAUUGCAUGUUUUGGGGCACCACUGAGCUUUAGCUCACCCCACGUAUUUGUUUUCCUUAACAGGUUCUGGAGACUGAAAGCGCUGAGACUUAUUCAUGUUUCUUUUCUUCUCGUAUGGGAUGUAACGAAUAUUAUGGCUAUUGUGUAGGCUUGUAUUGUGUUUUAACUUGAAUUCUGU
rnacentral:lncRNA from 1 species